GGAUAGUAGAGGAUAGGAAAGGUAGCAGAACACGACAGUCACUAGUAUGGCAAUAUGUAAAUCAAUGGAUGUGUAAUUGAUGUGAUUCUGCAAUGUGUAUAUGGGCUAAAAAUGGGAGUUCAUAACGCACUUGAAGCAAAGUGUGAAAGAUGAUAUAUCAAGAACUAUGUAAUGUUUUGAACAACCAACAAUAAAAAAUAAUAAAUAAAAAUAAAAAGUUUUCACUUUUAAAGUACCUGUAAAAUAAUGAUGAAAUUUUGGCAGGUAUGAUGGUGUGCACCUCUUUUGGGCAGAAGGCCAAUGCAGGGGGAUCUCAAGUUCAAGGCCAGGCUGGGAAAUUUAGAGAGACCCCCAUCUCAAAAUAAAAAAUAAAAAGGGCCAGGAAUGUAGCUCAGGGAUAAAGUGCCCCCAUUGCUCAGUCCCUAGUAUGACUAAAUAAAUAAAUACAUAAAUAUGUUGGUGAGUUUGAAAUGUGAAUGUAAUGAAUGGAGUAUGAAUAUAUUUUGAAAAUUUGAAGUAUUCUAGCAUUUUGAAUAGUUGUUAAUCUUUUAGAAUGAAUAAAUC
rnacentral:lncRNA from 1 species